rnacentral:rRNA from 1 species
GCAUAUCAAUAAGCGGAGGAAAAGAAACCAACAGGGAUUGCCUCAGUAACGGCGAGUGAAGCGGCAACAGCUCAAAUUUGAAAUCUGGCUCACGCCCGAGUUGUAAUUUGUAGAGGAUGCUUCGGGUGAAGCCACGGUCCAAGUCCCUUGGAACAGGACGUCAUAGAGGGUGAGAACCCCGUACCUGGCCGUCGGUGCCCCCCGCUGUGAAGCUCCUUCGACGAGUCGAGUUGUUUGGGAAUGCAGCUCUAAAUUGGUGGUAAAUUCCAUCUAAAGCUAAAUACCGGCCAGAGACCGAUAGCGCACAAGUAGAGUGAUCGAAAGAUGAAAAGCACUUUGAAAAGAGAGUUAAAAAGUACGUGAAAUUGUUGAAAGGGAAGCGCUUGCGGCCAGACUUGCCCGCGGUUGCUCAGCCCGCCCUUUGGCGGGUGCACUCUUCCGCGGUCAGGCCAGCAUCGGUUUGGGCGGUCGGAUAAAGGCGUUGGGAACGUGGCCUCCCCUCGGGGAGGUGUUAUAGCCCGGCGCGCAAUGCGACCAGCCUGGACCGAGGUUCGCGCUCUGCUAGGAUGCUGGCGUAAUGGCCGUAAGCGGCCCGUCUUGAAACACGGACCAAGGAGUCUAACAUCUAUGCGAGUGUUUGGGUGUCAAACCCGUGCGCGUAAUGAAAGUGAACGGAGGUGGGAACCGUAAGGUGCACCAUCGACCGAUCCUGAUGUCUUCGGAAGGAUUUGAGUAAGAGCAUAGCUGUUGGGACCCGAAAGAUGGUGAACUAUGCGUGAAUAGGGUGAAGCCAGAGGAAACUCUGGUGGAGGCUCGCAGCGGUUCUGACGUGCAAAUCGAUCGUCAAAUUUGCGUAUAGGGGCGAAAGACUAAUCGAACCAUUUAGUAGCUGGUUCCUGCCGA